rnacentral:rRNA from 1 species
UACGGGGGGGGCAAGCGUUGUUCGGAAUUACUGGGCGUAAAGCGUGCGCAGGCGGUUUUGUAAGACAGAGGUGAAAUCCCCGGGCUCAACCUGGGAAUCUGCCUUUGUGACUGCAAGGCUUGAGUGCGGCAGAGGGGGAUGGGAAUUCCGCGUGUAGCAGUGAAAUGCGUAGAUAUGCGGAGGAACACCGAUGGCGAAGGCAAUCCCCUGGGCCUGCACUGACGCUCAUGCACGAAAGCGUGGGGAGCAAACAGG